rnacentral:rRNA from 1 species
AGUGAACGCUGGCGGUAGGCCUAACACAUGCAAGUCGAACGGCAGCACAGUAAGAGCUUGCUCUUACGGGUGGCGAGUGGCGGACGGGUGAGGAAUACAUCGGAAUCUACUUUUUCGUGGGGGAUAACGUAGGGAAACUUACGCUAAUACCGCAUAUGACCUACGGGUGAAAGCAGGGGAUCAUCGGACCUUGCGCGAUUGAAUGAGCCGAUGUCGGAUUAGCUAGUUGGCUGGGUAAAGGCCCACCAAGGCGACGAUCCGUAGCUGGUCUGAGAGGAUGAUCGGCCACACUGGAACUGAGACACGGUCCAGACUCCUACGGGAGGCAGCAGUGGGGAAUAUUGGGCAAUGGGCGCAAGCCUGAUCCAGCCAUGCCGCGUGAGUGAAGAAGGUCUUCGGGUCGUAAAGCCCUUUUGUUGGGAAAGAAAAGCAGCGGGAUAAUACCCCGCUGUUCUGACGGUACCCAAAGAGUAAGCACCGGCUAACUUCGUG